rnacentral:lncRNA from 1 species
UAUUCAUACUGGGUCUUGUACACAAGAGGAGUCUUUACUAAUUCUGCACAUCUUCUAUUCUUUUUCCUGGCAUUUUCUCCUACAAACUUUUGUCCCUUUAGAAGUCGCUGAAAGGAAGCAGCUGAGAGCCUGAGACUAAUUGGGUUUCCUGACAUGAUUUCCCCUGAUAUGGAUCAGGUAUGUUGGUAUUCUAUGUCUUUUUAUAUCUGCUACUUUUCUAUAUGAAUAAUUGAACUUUGAACUGCUGUCCUCGAGCCAUACCAAUCCUCAUAGUUUUGUGGCACUCUAAAAAAAUUAAACGUAAAUGUGUUGUGUUCAACUGAGAUGGACACUUGGAGAGUUCAGUUCGGAAGCCUGUACUCUACCUGUUAUGGUCAGAGUAAAUUUAAAUCAUAUCAAAAUCUCCUUCUUAAGAUAGUAUAUUAGUAUCUGAUCAUAAAAAUGACGAUAUCUUACGUAGAAUAGUCUUUACCUAUCUAAAUGAAAGAAAUCGUCUUUACCUAUCUGUUUGGAAUAAGAAGAUUCCUUUUUUUGGGUAAAGGUAUAGAACUCUUAAUACACAUGCAGCAUCCCCACAGGGUUUGAACUCUCGACCUCUUAUCACCAGUCAAUGUGAGUCAUCAUCAGUCAAGUUCUUUAUCAUAGUUUAUGUGAGUUUACUUAUUUAGAAUUAGCAACUUCAGUGCCAGUCGUCUAACACCUAAAUCAUUUUGAUCCUUAAUUUCUAUAGACAUGUUAACAUAGGCAAAACGUAAGCAUAGUGCAGUAAUUUCAUUUGCAAGUUUAUCAAUACUCAGUAACUAUAGUUUUUGUUUACAGAGAACUUAACACGGAUGCAAACUUUAUUCCUGUAUCGCUUGCAUGUAUUCCAAUCUAUUUAAAGUCCAAAAGACAUUGUUAAUGAAGAAUGAAAAAUAUACAUAUAUUUUUUGGUCAAAAAGGUGUAAUUUCUAGACAUCCCAACCAGUACCACGCCAGACCGCCUCCUUAUACAUUCUACAGGAAGCUGUUUAUGUGACGAUCCUGCUCAGAAAACAUUACAAUAAACACAAGUAUAUGCAAUUUUAUAAGUAUGCCCCCAGCUGAUCGAGAUUAUAAGAUAUGAAUGCAUGAAGGUUGCCACAACUUUAGGAGGGCAUGAUUGAAAAAAUUGAUGCAACGUUUGACCAGUACAGUAGCAUGAAAUUUCAACUAUAGACCAGUAUUACUUAUGAUGCUCCGAGUAUUUAUUGAAAACUGAAGCAAGAACUUAAAUUUAAAUUACUUCAAAAGCUGAUACAUGCAAUAUCAAACUUGUAUGCUGCUAUCAGUAUUAUGGAUAGUUUAACUCCUAGUAUUUCUUGAUUUGUAAUGCCAAAUCUUCUUUAAACCAUAUUGAUCGCCCAAUCUCAGUAUUACCACCAAGAAGCAUCAGGAUUUUUCUAGAUACCAUAAAAAUGCCACAUUAAAACUAGUGACAUGUUCACGUUGAUCCCUACGUAUCUCAUAGAUUCUGGGUAGUUAACUUUUAAGUUGAUCAUUGAUUCACGUUCCCAAUCUGAGAAAGGUACUCUUUACCCUUUUACAGGACAAUGAUAGGUGAAGCUUGAGCUCUUGGGCUAUUAUUGACGAGGAAGAAAUUAGCAAAAUCCACCCCAAAAAGGUACACAACAUAUCCGCAUUGCAUACCAGAUAUGGUCAUCCAACAUCUAACAUCCAGGUGACAACCAAUUUUUCUGAGCAAAUAUCUCAUAAUAUUGCAGAAUAAACAAUUCAAUUGAAUGCUACAAUGUAUUUAAGAAUAGAUAUGCUAUUUUUGCUUGUAUCCUGCAUGCAAUACAACAUAAGCUAUCUUAUAUUUAAUCUGUCAGGUCUUAUUGCCCGAUAUCAAUCCAAAUCUAAGUAUAUCAUGUAUGGAAGGAGCAGAUUUUACUCGCUCUGCAACCAUCCUCAGCUUUUCACAACCAACAAUAGUAAAAACGUUGAGAGAAGGCAGAGUUCCGUCCUCAAUUUGCCAUUCUUUCAGAUUGGGGAGAUAUGCAGACCAUUUCCUCCCCUUCU